GACGAACGCUGGCGGCGUGCUUAACACAUGCAAGUCGAACGGGAUUUAGUAAACGGAAGUCCUGGUGGAUGAUCACUAAUGAGAGUGGCGAACGGGUGAGUAACGCGUGAUAAAACUGCCUAUGACAGGGGGAUAGCCUCGGGAAACCGGGAUUAAUAUCGCAUAAAAUCGUUGAAACACAUGUUUCAACGGUCAAAGAUCUAACGGGCAUAGCGGGGCUGGCAUCGGUUUCGCAAGAUGGGAAGAUAACAGCCCACCAAGGCGACGAUCAGUAGCCGGUAUGAGAGAAAGGGUGGCCACAUUGGAACUAAGACACAGUCGAAACUCCUACGGGAGGCAGCAGUGGGUAAUAUUGCAACAUCGCGGAAACCCUGAUGCAGCGACGCCGCGUGAACGAAGAAAGUAUUCGUAUCGUAAAGUUCUGUCCUAUGGGAAGAUAAUGACAGUACCAAAGAAGAAAGCCCCGGCUAAAUACGUG
rnacentral:rRNA from 1 species